rnacentral:misc_RNA from 1 species
UUUCCGUAGGUGAACCUGCGGAAGGAUCAUUAAAGAGUAAGGGUCUUCGGGCCCGAUUUCCAACCCUUUGUUUAACUACCAUGUUGCUUUGGCGGGCCCGUCUGACGACCGCCGGAAGUUUGGCUUCGACCAAACUUCUGGCCCGUGCCGUCAGUGGCCCCUUCAAAUUCUUGAUCAAGUAUGAUGUCUUAGUUAAAAACUUAAUAGUUAAAACUUUCAACAACGGAUCUCUUGGUUCUG